CAAGUCUCACAGCUCAGCCCGGUAAAGCUGCCUGGGAAAGGCGUGUGGGCAUCCCGGUUUGGGAAGGUCCCGGCUUCGCCUCCAGUCCAGAAAGGUGCCAGUGUGAUGAUAUUGAAAGGGAACAUAUUUUGGUUUCUAAACCCCAACUACAGCAGUGACAACAAAAAGAUACAAGACAGCACCAAAGGGAAGCCGCUCUCUGCUACCUAAGCAGCACACUGGAUGCAAGACAGGACAAUAUUUUGGAGGUUAGUUGAUGAAGCAGAUGAAGAUAUUAUUUUUUAACUUUUGGACACCUGGAUUCAAAGCAAAAGUAAUUUCGCAGUGUCAUCCAAGUUCUCAGCUGUCCAUUCUACAAAAUCUGGCAUAAAUAGCCUGUGGAGGGACCCAGGAUCUGCAGAGCAGAAUUCAGCAUCUCACCGUGCUUGCUGGUGGCUGCACAAAGACUGUAGCACUUCUCAUGGUCACGUUUUUUUGGCUCAACAAGCUGACUUGGGUCAACAAAGGCUGUGAAGACCAAGGGAAGAAGUAGGACAGCACAGCCAGGCAAGAGGGAUGGCAAACACAGCAUUGUCUCCUUUUA